rfam:Xanthomonas campestris pv. campestris str. ATCC 33913, complete genome.
AUGUACCCCCACACACGCCGGUUCCUCCGCGCCGCACGCACCCACCUGGCGACUGCUCGCUACUUUGUUAGCC